rnacentral:lncRNA from 1 species
CAAUAUCUAUUACCAAUAGGUGACAUCCCAAGAAAACCUUUAUAUCCACCUCUUCCACCACGACCAGGAAGCCACAGUGAUUCUGGAGGUUUUAAUGACUUAGAUCUCGUUGAUGGGAAGCCUUUACCACCACGACUACCAGGAGAAGACGAGCAUCAUUUCAAUCACGGAGGAAAUACUGAUUCAGGGUUAAUAGCUGGAGUUACAUCUCCUAUAAUUUCUGCUUUUGUAAUAUUAGUUGUUGGAUCAAUAGCAGCCUACUCAGCUUACAAGAACAAGAGACUUUGUUUUAAACCACAAGGUGGGGCUGCAGUGUAAACUGCUGAAAGAAAAGCUAUCCAAUGGUGACAGGCUCCUUUGGUUGGUGGUGCUAUCUUACAGAUUGCUCUUCUAAAUUGAUGGUUUCCUUGGUCCAGAAAUGAACACUCCGCCACAGACCUGACAAAUUUUAAUUCUACUUACCAUCCUGAUUUCAAAAAAAAAUUUACCAAUCUUACACUAACAUUUUGUUGGGACAUUGCAAGUCUGUUUUCUUCUACCUGAUGUUACUUUUCCAUUUUGAAGUGUAUGUCAUUAAAGAUGUGCUUAAAUGGCUGUGGAUGGUACUGCACUAUCUGAUGUCUAUUAAUAAAGUGGAAUAGGUAUUUUGAUUCA